AUGUGAUGGCCCCAUCUCGGGGUACUGAGCAUAAUCAAACUGCGAAUGUCACGCCAACAUGCUCGGCAGUCAGACAGCGGGUGAUAAGGUCCGUUGUCAAGAGGGAAACAGCCCAGACCAUCAGCUAAGGUCCCAAAAUGUAUGCUAAGUGGAAAAGGAUGUGGAGAUGUACAGACAACUAGGAGGUUGGCUCAGAAGCAGCCAUCCUUUAAAGAGUGCGUAACAGCUCACUAGUCGAAUGACUCUGCGCCGAUAAUUUACCGGGGCUAAGCAUACUACCGAAGCUAUGGAUCCCAAGGGAUGGUAGGGGAGCGUUCCAUGAACGGAGAAGUACGACCGAAAGGACGUGUGGAGAUCAUGGAAGAGAGAAUGCCGGUGUGAGUAGCGGAACGUGGGUGAGAAUCCCACGCACCGAAAACCCAAGGUUUCCAGAGGAAGGUUCGUCCGCUCUGGGUAAGUCGGGACCUAAGGCGAGGCCGAAAGGCGUAGUCGAUGGACAACAGGUAGAGAUUCCUGUACCCGUAUAUAUGUGAAGGAAUGACGGAGAGAGGAAGCUGCAGCCAGCGGCUGGAAGAGCUGGUGCAAGCGAGAUAUCGGGAUGGCAGGCAAAUCCACCAUCCGAAACGAGAAGGCGUGAAGCGUACGGAAAGCUACGGCGAGUACGGAAGGCAGUGGAGGAACUUCCAAGAAAAGUUUCUAACGUUAAGUAUAUAUGGCCCGUACCGAAAAUGGACACACAUGGGUGAGGAGAGAAUCCUAAGGUGAGCGAGAGAACUAUAGCUAAGGAACUCUGCAAAAUGACUCCGUAACUUAGGGAGAAGGAGUGCUCAUAGAGAUAUGAGCCGCAGUGAAACGGCCCAAGCGACUGUUUACCAAAAACACAGCUCUCUGCUAAGCCGCAAGGCGAAGUAUAGGGGGUGACGCCUGCCCGGUGCUGGAAGGUUAAGGGGAGGGGUUAACGCAAGUGAAGCCCUGAACUGAAGCCCCAGUAAACGGCGGCCGUAACUAUAACGGUCCUAAGGUAGCGAAAUUCCUUGUCAGGUAAGUUCUGACCCGCACGAAAGGCGUAACGAUUUGGGCGCUGUCUCAGCUGUAGACUCGGUGAAGUCUUAGUACCUGUGAAGAUGCAGGUUACCCGCGACUAGACGGAAAGACCCCAUGGAGCUUCACUGCAGGUUGAUAUUGGGAUUUGAUGCAGCAUGUACAGGAUAGGUAGGAGGCAAAGAGAUGGAUACGCCAGUAUUCAAGGAGCCGCUGUUGGGAUACUACCCCUGUUGUAUUGGAUUUCUAACCGGACGACGUAGAGCCGUUGACGGGACAGUGUCAGUCGGGCAGUUUGACUGGGGCGGUCGCCUCCCAAAGAGUAACGGAGGCGCCCAAAGAUACCCUCAGCUUGGAUGGAAACCAAGCGCAGAGUGCAAAGGCAAAAGGGUGUUUGACUGCGAGACCUACAAGUCGAGCAGGGACGAAAGUCGGGCUUAGUGAUCCGG
rnacentral:rRNA from 1 species